AUUAAAAAAAAAAAAAAAAUCCUCUUUACCCCUAAACCCAGAACCCCAAAGCACUAGCUAGGAAUCAGGAUGUUGCAGAUGAAAUUGCAGUUCUUCCCUCCAUCCUUCUCAAAUACAACUGCUCUUUCUCCUUAUAAUACUCCAAUCCUUUCUUCACCCUCCUUCGCAUCACCGUCCUCCUUCCAGUAUUCCCAGUGGCCAUUAAAGCAACCCAGGAAAAAGCAGC
rnacentral:misc_RNA from 1 species